rnacentral:rRNA from 1 species
UACGUAGGCAGCGAGCGUUGUUCGGAGUUACUGGGCGUAAAGGGUGUGUAGGCGGUUCUCUAAGUUUGGUGUGAAAUCUCCCGGCUCAACUGGGAGGGUGCGCCGAAAACUGGAGGGCUAGAGUACUGGAUGGGAGAGUGGAAUUCCUGGUGUAGCGGUGAAAUGCGUAGAUAUCAGGAGGAACACCUGUGGUGUAGACGGCUCUCUGGACAGUAACUGACGCUGAGACACGAAAGCGUGGGUAGCAAACAGG